AUUGAACGCUGGCGGCAGGCCUAACACAUGCCAGUCGAGCGAGCGGCGGACGGGUGAGUAAUGUAUGGGGACUGCCCGAUAGAGGGGGCUAACUACUGGAAACGGUAGCUAAUACCGCAUCCUAUCGGAUAACCCAUAUGGGAUUAGCUAGUAGGUGAGGUAAUGGCGCACCUAGGCAACGAUCCCUAGCCGUGCUGAGAGGAUGAUCAGCCGCACUGUGAACAAGAGACAGCCCAGACUCCUACGGAGGCAGGAGUGAGGAAUAUUGCGCAAUGGGCGCAAGCAUGAUGAAUCCAUGCCACGUGUAUGAAGAGGGCCCUAGGGUUGUAAAGUACUUUCAGUCGUGAGGCGUUACCGACAGAAGAAGCACCGGCGAACUCCGUGCCAGCCGCCGCGGUAAUUC
rnacentral:rRNA from 1 species